UACGAAGGGGGCUAGCGUUGUUCGGAAUUACUGGGCGUAAAGCGCGCGCAGGCGGUCCUUCAAGUCAGAGGUGAAAGCCCAGAGCUCAACUCUGGAACGGCCUUUGAAACUAGAGGACUUGGGUACGGGAGAGGUGAGUGGAAUUCCGAGUGUAGAGGUGAAAUUCGUAGAUAUCGGGAGGAACACCUGAGGCGAAGGCGGGCUACUGGGCCGAUACUGACGCUGAUGUGCGAAAGCCAGGGGAGCCGAACGGG
rnacentral:rRNA from 1 species